UCUGCCUGACUGCCCAGCAGCAAGUCCUUGGGGCUCUGCACCAGAAGGGUGUCCCCAACUGCAGCCUGGUUGCUCCUGGAUCCUCCUGACACCCUCCAUCUCCCACAGCCUGUUUGCUCUUAAAUACCAAGUGAGGAGCUUCAUAUGAGUGAAGUAAACCAUGCAAAGUUCAGACUUCCCAGAAUUCAGAUCAGCACAGAAGCUCCUUGCCAAAUCCACAUCUGAGACAAUGAAAUAUGAUCUGUUCCAAAGCAUCCAGCUACAGCUGUGUGAAAAAGCAAGCAGGCAGAGCAAAUGGGAUAUAACAUGACUGUCCACAUCCUCUGUGGCUUGAGCUCAGAGAGAAAGCUGAUAUGGAACACAUUGAUGGAGGGAAAAAAAGGGAAACAGGACUUUCUAUGCACAAAGCACAGCUCUGUUAUCAGGAUGAUUAAAGCCAUUUACGGUAAACCAACAGCCUUCCAGAUCCUCCCAACAUCCUGAACUCAUUCUGUUCUGGGGUAAUUAGAUGGAUUUCAAAUGUUGUAAAAUAUAAGCCUGUUUAUGAAAAAAUGUUCUGCUAAUCAAGGUGUCUCACUAUAUCUGGUAAAAGUUUUUAUUUCUGUUCUUUUUAACAUCUGUAACAUAAGGGAGCCAAUGGAGUUUUGCAAAAACAUAACUAAAAAACUCUGCAACUGUAACUUGCCACAG